rnacentral:misc_RNA from 1 species
UCUCCGUUGGUGAACCAGCGGAGGGAUCAUUACCGAGUCCCCGACUCCAAACCACCGCGAACCUACCACGUCGUUGCCUCGGCGGGCGGCCCCAGGGGGGGCCCCCGGCCCCCGGCGCCCCCACGGCGCCGGGUGUUCCCGCUGGCGGCCCCCCGGACGACCAUCAGCUACCGCGUUUGUUUGGGCCGCCUCGACUGCGACAAAGCAAAAACUUCAACAAUGAAGCUCUUGGCUUUGGCAUCGAUAAAGAACCGAGCAACUCGGAAAAACACACAUCUA